rfam:TPA: Aspergillus nidulans FGSC A4 chromosome II
GCCCGGUUAGCUCAGUUGGCUAGAGCGUGGGACUUUUACCGCUUUAUUCUGCUGGUAUCCCAAUGUCGGGGGUUCGAGCCCCCCAUCGGGCG